ACCUGAAAGAAGCAAGAAUACCCGCUGAACUUAAGCAUAUCAGUA
rnacentral:rRNA from 1 species